rnacentral:rRNA from 1 species
UGGGGAAUAUUGGGCAAUGGAGGCAACUCUGACCCAGCCAUGCCGCGUGGGUGACGAAGGUCUUCGGAUUGUAAAGCCCUUUCGGCGGGGACGAUGAUGACGGUACCCGCAGAAGAAGCCCCGGCUAACUUCGUGCCAGCAGCCGCGGUAAUACGAAGGGGGCUAGCGUUGUUCGGAAUUACUGGGCGUAAAGGGCGUGUAGGCGGCCCGUUAAGACAGGUGUGAAAUUCCUGGGCUCAACCCAGGACGUGCGCCUGUGACUGGCGGGCUUGAGUCCGGGAGAGGAUGGUGGAACUCCCAGUGUAGAGGUGAAAUUCGUAGAUAUUGGGAAGAACACCCGUGGCGAAGGCGGCCAUCUGGACCGGUACUGACGCUAAGGCGCGACAGCGUGGGGAGCAAACA